UACGUAGGGUGCAAGCGUUAAUCGGAAUUACUGGGCGUAAAGCGUACGCAGGUGGCUAUGUAAGACAGGUGUGAAAUCCCCGGGCUUAACCUGGGAACUGCAUUUGUGACUGCAUUGCUGGAGUGCGGCAGAGGGGGAUGGAAUUCCGCGUGUAGCAGUGAAAUGCGUAGAUAUGCGGAGGAACACCGAUGGCGAAGGCAAUCCCCUGGGCCUGCACUGACGCUCAUGCACGAAAGCGUGGGGAGCAAACAGG
rnacentral:rRNA from 1 species